UUUACCCAUGGCAAUUUGGUGACUUCUUGAAAGGUAGUAAGACUUAGGAAAGUCCAUAGUAACACUGGACCCCAGGCUCAUUCAGUCAUAUAUGUGGCUUCCCUAGACCUGCUAUAUGUUGUGAGAAGACACUGUGCUGUAACGUCAUGUCAGCAGCAUGUGUGGAUUAGAACCAGUUUUAGUUGACAACAUCCAAAACAAGACUGGCCGCCAGUGUCCUUUUGGGCUCCCUCCGUGACGUCCGUUGUCCUGCUAUGUUAUGAUGACCACUAGUGUACUGUGUGGCAGACUGUGCUGAAGAGAAAUGCUGUGGUGGCACUGAGAAUCAAGGCUGCAAGCCCAGUGUGUAGAACCUGUGCAGCAGAUGGGAGGGAGCCAACAGGAGAGCUUUGCUGCAACAACAGAUCACAGGAAGCUCAAACAUGUCCCUGCCUUGUCCAAACCAUCACAACACCGGAGAUGUGGACGCAGCGCUCACUUGUAAAGAUGGGAACAGUAGUGGCCGCAGAGCUGUCAGUACUACAGAAGGUGUCUAAUGAAGAGGACCCUCAUGAACUGUCCUGUGACACAGUCCGUAGCUGUGAGGUGUUCACACACAAACAUAGGGAACGAAGGCCCAUUAGUCAGACUUCAGCAGACAGACGGGACCUCACACCUGUCUCAGGCAUGACUGCACUGUUCUACACCAACUGGAACUGAACCAACAAGACGCAAACCACCAGGCUGGGGUUUAAACUACAAACACUUGGGGCAGAGACUUCAGAACUCACAACACAAACACUGGUGUCUGAGGGGAAAGGGACUGAGGAAUAUCAGUUCUGGCGGGGGAAAGAAUUGGCUUGCGAUCAGUAGAUCUCCUGUAUUCAGUAGAAACACUUCUUCUGUUUGAUAAAUACAGCAUCAAAACUGG